rnacentral:rRNA from 1 species
AUUGAACGAUGGCGGCAGGCUUAACACAUGCAAGUCGAGCGGAGCGAGGGUGCUUGCACCUUAGCUUAGCGGCGGACGGGUGAGUAAUGCUUAGGAAUCUGCCUAUUAGUGGGGGACAACAUUCCGAAAGGGAUGCUAAUACCGCAUACGCCCUAAGGGUGCACGCAGGGCCUCUUCGUACCUUUCGCUAAUAGAUGAGGCUAGGCCGGAUUAGUUAGUUGGUGGGGUAAAGGCCUACCAAGGCGACGAUCUGUAGCGGGGCUGAGAGGAUGCUCCGCCACACUGGGACUGAGACACGGCCGAGACUCCUACGGGAGGCAGCAGUGGGGAAUAUUGGACAAUGGGCGGAAGCCUGAUCCAGCCAUGCCGCGUGUGUGAAGAAGGCCUUUUGGUUGUAAAGCACUUUAAGCGAGGAGGAGGCUACUAGUAUUAAUACUACUGGAUAGUGGACGUUACUCGCAGAAUAAGCACCGGCUAACUCUGUGCCAGCAGCCGCAGUAA